GCUUGGCCCUAACGAGGCCCAUCAGUGCUAAUGAAGAAAUGACCUCCAGCUAGUGCACGUGGCUGCUUAUGUGCUCACAUCCUGCCUGCUUUGGAGGUUUGGGGCCAGCGGGAGGAUGCCGGUGGCGUUAAAGCGCAGAUGGACCCGGAGAGCGAGGCGAGCGCGGAGCGCCCUCGGGAUGGAGUCGUAAGCCGGGCGUCGGAAGACAGACUCGGCUCUUGCGGUCGGGGGUGCGCAGGUUGCGGUGCAGUUGACGACGUUGAGGAAGGCCACCAGCCCUGCCCUCGCGGAACUCGUUGAAGAGCCGCGAGGCACGUUAGCGAGCAGGGAGCGACCGGCGGCCGCCCUGAAGGAGAGUCGUGGCUGAAACCGCCGUUCCCGCGCUCGGUGCGCGUCCUGACUCGCAAGCAACUGCCCAAGUACGGUAACGGGCGUCCCGCUCCAUCAGCGUCGCAGCGCCUCCGGUUGGACCAGGCUGUCAAGAGACUAUUUGCUGUUCUCUUAUUGUUUCUGCUCGAGGGGAGCCAGUCCUAUGCCUCUAGGGCAGGAAAUACCCCAGACCCAGCCUGCGGUUUGGAAGCGGCUCGCUGCUGCUGCUCUGCCAGUUCUAGAACUCAACUCCUGAAGCACAAGCCCUUGGGAAGCAUGGACUAGAAACAGUGAUGGCAUGAAACUGCGCUGCUCAGCAGAUGGAGUGAAUGCAAGAAGAAGUUAUUUCAGUCACAACAAUUUUCAAUGAUUGUUGUCUUUUUUUUUUUUUUUGUGAAUGACAAAAACUACUGUAUGCAUUAAACUAUUUCUUUGUGUCUUGGGCUGGAGAAUGCAGAUGCCAGAGUGUUAAAGGGGAUAGCUGUGACUGUCCCUGUUAAAUGGGGGGGAAAAGGGGGGAGAUGACCUCUGUGGGUCCCCUUUCAAUUGUAACAAUUCCAUAGUUCUGUGACAAGUCACGCAAUGUUUAAGAAAACAGGGAUGCAUGCUUACUGUUUAGCGUAACAGCAAUAAUGAUGAUGUAAGUUGAAUGAAUUUAUUUUUAACAUAUGGGGAAUACUUUUAGGAGUAAGAAUGUUAUAUUCUACUGUUGAACUCUAGCUGCUGUGAUGUUUGCUGUGUAAAAUCCAGGUUACAAAAGGAAAUAAAUACUGCAUUUCUAUUGAGAAAAUUUCUUGCAUUUAAUGGACUUGUCCAAAAAUGCAGACUAUUAAGUUUUCUCCUGUU